rnacentral:rRNA from 1 species
UCUCAGUUCGGAUUGGAGUCUGCAACCCGACUCCAUGAAGCUGGAUUCGCUAGUAAUCGCGCAUCAGCCACGGCGCGGUGAAUACGUUCCCGGGCCCUUGUACACACCGCCCGUCAAGCCAUGGAAGCCGGGAGUGCCUGAAGUGCGUGACCGCAAGGAGCGUCCUAAGGCAAUACCGGUGACUGGGGCUAAGUCGUAACAAGGUAGC